GUGAGGUAAUGAGGGCCUGCACUAUAGUGGUUAGCAGUGUCAGAGUAGAGAUGGAGAUGUAUUUGAGAGAUGUCACAAAGGAAAGAUUGACAGGUCUUGCCAGCAGCAUGGACAUGAGGUAGAGGGAAGGAGUUGGUAAUGGUGAGGAAUCCAGAAAGAUUCCUAGCAUGCAAGUCUAAGAGACUGGGAGAAUAAUGCCCUCUACAGAAAUAGGGAAGAGAUGUAAAAGAAAAUUUCUACCAAUGAAGACAAAGUGAAAUAAGCAGAACCAAGAAACAAUCUACAUGAGCCUAACAAUGUAAAUAUAAAGAUCACAAAAGCAAAAGCACUUGUAACCAAGUACAGAGAACAGUUAUAAUCACUAACAUUGGCCUCAAAGAAGUGAAGCAAAAAGAAACUGCCCCACUUUCUUUGUAGAGAGACCACAAGAAGAGCCUGACAGAGCAGAAGCCAAGACGAACACCAUGAAUCCAUGUUGUAUCCCCAGUUAAGAGCCACAAACUAUGAAAUUCCAAGUGGAUUUUACUUAAAGAUAGGCAAAAAUCAUAAUUAGAGAAUUUGAUUUGUGUGGGGCAUCUUACAGAUUAGUCUCUUCCUAGAGUAAUUCUUCAAAUCAAAGUGGUAAAAACCACCAACCCGAGAACCUUUUUGAAGUUGUGCUAUUUAUUCUAUUUAUUUUCUGGAGGCAAAUGGCUGGGAGGAGCUAGUCUAGGAGGAUAAAUAUCUAGUCUUUAUUUCCUGGACAAUGGCAAUAAAUCAUAUGAUAAGAAGGUCAGCAAUUAAUUUUAACUAUGCAACUAUUCUUCAUUCAACUAGUCAUGAGAAAUUGUUGAUCAGGACAGUGUUACUGAAUACCUAUUAAAUAACAGUCCAAUGAUCACCUGGAUGAAGUUACUGAGGAUGUGAGCCCAUUUGGAUCUUUGAUUGCAUCUUCCUUCCCAUUCCUAUGCAUCCCUCACUUAGAAUGAAUUGGUUGUCUCAGUGUUAGAAGAUGUAGUCACUUUUCUGCACUGGGUUUAAUAAAAAAGGGAUCCCUUCAA